rnacentral:lncRNA from 1 species
AAGUGGGAGUGGGAGUGAGAGUCCCUCUUACCAGCCCUCAACUAGGGAGAGCGUAAAAGUUUGUCUCAAGCGUUCCGAGCGCCCCAAGGUAAAGGUGGAAGUAAAUGGCCAAGUUGUAUGGAAAGAGGUGGCCAUGGAAUGGUGUAGCAGAUUGCUGCAGAUGGUUUCAAUAGUUCUGCUGAAUGCUCCUUGUUUGUGCCUGCAAGAGGAACUCAAGGCUUUAUGUAUGGCCAUUGCUGUGACCUAGUGUGAUGCUCUACUUUUCCACUGAACUCUGCUUGCUCUAACUGAGGACCUUAGCUAUAAUUUAGCCUUUUCUUUUUAUAUUAAGCUGUUGUUGAGGAAGGAGCUUUGGCAAUAGAAGAAACCAAGCAGCAGGUUAAUUUCCACUGUUGACACAACUGGAAACGGAUCCCUACUUUAUGCAUUGGAGAUGCUAUGAAGACUACUCUGUCUGAUGUUUCCCUAUUGGGAUAGUGAAGUAUGAUGCUUCAUUGGUUGAGUGUAUGCAAUCAAAGUAAGAGUGAAAAAGGAAGAUCUGAGGAGUGGGCAGAUGCCUGCCGGGUAAACUAUUUGUGGCAUAAACUUGAGGACCCCACAGGAAAGCCAGAUGUUGUCAUGUGCUUCAAACCACAAUUCUGCUAUUGAAUGGGGGAUUACUGGUCAGUGACUAGCCAAAAUGGUGAGCUUCAUGUGCUGAGAGAACUACCUAUCUCAAAAAAAUAAGGUGAAAGGGCUAGAGAGGUGGCAAAGUAGCACUGACUGAUCUCUCAGAGGAGAACGUGGAUUCAACUCCUAGCACCCACAUAGCAGCCAACAACCAUCUGUAACUCCAGUCUCAGGGGAUUUAGUGCCUUCUUAUAUCCUCAGUGAACACUGCACAUAUAUUGUGCAUAGACAUACAUUCAGUCAAACAAACACUCAGACACAUAAAAAUAAAUGAAAUCUCAAAAUAUUUUAAAAAGAUAAUGUGGAGGGUGAUUGAGGCCUUAUAUUAAUCUUUAGACUUUACAAAAUGAGUUUUACACACACACACACACACAGAAAACACACAAACACACUAUAUGUACACACACAUAUAUACACUGACACACACACUUGAAAAAUUGUUAUUGCUUAAAAUUUUU